AAGUCGUAACAAGGUCUCCGUUGGUGAACCAGCGGAGGGGAUCAUUACUGAGUACUACACUCUCUACCCUUUGUGAACUAUUAUACCUGUUGCUUCGGCGGCGCCCGCAAGGGUGCCCGCCGGUCUCAUCAGAAUCUCUGUUUUCGAACCCGACGAUACUUCUGAGUGUUCUUAGCGAACUGUCAAAACUUUUAACAACGGAUCUCUUGGCUCCAGCAUCGAUGAAGAACGCAGCGAAACGCGAUAUGUAAUGUGAAUUGCAGAAUUCAGUGAAUCAUCGAAUCUUUGAAACGCACAUGGCGCCUUCCAGUAUCCUGGGAGGCAUGCCUGUCCGAGCGUCGUUUCAACCCUCGAGCCCCUGUGGCCCGGCGUUGGGGAUCUGCCACGGCAGGCCCCUAAAACCAGUGGCGGACCCGAAGGGCCCUCUCCUUUGCGCAGUAGCAUUCGCCUCGCAUCGGGAGUCCUCGGCGUCCUGCCUCUAAACCCCCACAAGCCCCGCUUCGGCGGCACCAAGGUUGACCUCGGAUCAGGUAGGAAUACCCGCUGAACUUAA
rnacentral:rRNA from 1 species